AGCUGUGGGGAUGACCACAGGCCACAAACCCUGCCUGGACAGCUCAGCACAGCCAGCAGCACCUGUUCAUAGUAAGAUGGAUAGAAUAAAGAAUGCCUGGAGCAGCUGAGCCUGUCCAGGAGGUGCAAGGUGCCUGUGGAGCCUACAAGGACAGUGACAUCACAGGCAAGCCCUCCACUCAGAGCAAAGGGAGGGGUAAAGCCUCUGCUCUCUCACCCUAAGCACCAGAGCCCAGAGCUGGGAGAUGGCCAGUCUUGCCCUGUCCAAAUCUUCCAGGGACCCUCAGCUCCUCUGCUGCUUGGCCCUCUGUCUCCUGGGGGCAGGUUCAGUGGCUGCUGGAGUCACCCAGUCUCCAAGACAUGUAAUCAAAGGCCAAGGGGGGAUGGCCAUUCUGAAGUGCCACCCCAUCUCCGGACACAGAAGUGUGUACUGGUACCAGCAGACUCUGGGACACGGCCCUCAGUUCCUCAUUGAAUAUUUUGAAAAGAAGGAGAGAGAAAAAGGGAGCAUCCCUGAUCGGUUCUCAGGAAAUCAGUCCAGUGACUACAGCUCUGAGCUGGCCAUGAGUGCCUUGCAGCUGGGAGACUCAGCCGUGUAUCUCUGUGCCAGCAGCUUAGACACAGCCCUGCAGGGUCAAUGGCUUUCUGUACUCAAACCUCCCUGCCCCAGAUGAGGAUGUCACAGGAGAGGGAGGGGGCCUUAGCAACUUACCAGUAUAGGGCUAACUUCUUUUGCAACAUCCU